UACAUAGGGGGCAAGCGUUGUUCGGAAUUACUGGGCGUAAAGGGCGCGUAGGCUGCCUCUUAAGUCGAACGUGAAAUCCCCGGGCUCAACCCGGGAACUGCGUCCGAUACUGGGAGGCUUGAAUCCGGGAGAGGGAUGUGGAAUUCCAGGUGUAGCGGUGAAAUGCGUAGAUAUCUGGAGGAACACCGGUGGCGAAGGCGGCAUCCUGGACCGGUAUUGACGCUGAGGCGCGAAAGCUAGGGGAGCAAACGGG
rnacentral:rRNA from 1 species